UACGAAGGGGGCGAGCGUUAGUUCGGAAUUACUGGGCGUAAAGAGCGUGUAGGCGGUUGAUUAAGUCAGUUGUCAAAUUCCUCGGCUUAACCGAGGAUCGGCAAUUGAUACUGAUUGACUAGAGGGUAAGAGAGAGAAGUGGAAUUCUCGGAGUAGGCGGAUAAAUGCAUAGAUCUCGAGAGGAGCACCAGUUGCGAAGGCGGCUUCUUGGCUUAUACCUGACGCUAAAGCGCGAAAGCGUGGGGAGCAAACAGGAUUAGAUACCCGUGUA
rnacentral:rRNA from 1 species